rnacentral:rRNA from 1 species
GACGAACGCUGGCGGCGUGCUUAACACAUGCAAGUCGAACGGAAAGGCCCUGCUUUUGUGGGGUGCUCGAGUGGCGAACGGGUGAGUAACACGUGAGUAACCUGCCCUUGACUUUGGGAUAACUUCAGGAAACUGGGGCUAAUACCGGAUAGGAGCUCCUGCUGCAUGGUGGUGUUGGAAAGUUUCGGCGGUUGGGGAUGGACUCGCGGCUUAUCAGCUUGUUGGUGGGGUAGUGGCUUACCAAGGCUUUGACGGGUAGCCGGCCUGAGAGGGUGACCGGCCACAUUGGGACUGAGAUACGGCCCAGACUCCUACGGGAGGCAGCAGUGGGGAAUAUUGCACAAUGGGCGGAAGCCUGAUGCAGCAACGCCGCGUGCGGGAUGACGGCCUUCGGGUUGUAAACCGCUUUCGCCUGUGACGAAGCGUGAGUGACGGUAAUGGGUAAAGAAGCACCGGCUAACUACGUG